rnacentral:rRNA from 1 species
UACGUAGGUGGCAAGCGUUGUCCGGAUUUAUUGGGUUUAAAGGGUGCGUAGGCGGUGUCCUAAGUCAGUUGUGAAAUACGGCAGCUUAACUGUCGAGGUGCAAUUGAUACUGGGACACCUGAGUACUGAUGAGGUAUGCGGAAUGGACGGUGUAGCGGUGAAAUGCUUAGAUAUCGUCCAGAACACCGAUAGCGAAGGCAGCAUACUAAGGAGUAACUGACGCUGAGGCACGAAAGUGUGGGGAUCAAACAGG